rnacentral:lncRNA from 1 species
CAACAAGUCCUCAGGAAAAACAACUUGCAUUCAUACACAAUCAACAACGAAACGAAAGCACAAACAGUGCUACAACCAACUAGAGCAAGCGAUACAAGUAAAAUCAUACAAGUAUACAAAAGAGAGAAACUUAACUAUUUAAACAUAAACUAGGACGUAUGAAAUCCUUCCCAACAUCAUUAGCUUUAAACCUUUAAUUACAACCUGUAUUCUUUUCAUCAAAAUGUAAUACAUCAAAUCUCUCCAAAUCCUCACCCUAUACAACAUCUACUCUCAAAGAUAUAAACAAAAGUACAGGGUGGUGCUAAUGCAAUAGGAAAGGUAAAAUAACUAUCAAACUGCUAGGGCGCUAAACCCUUGCCGCGAUCCUCC